GUCUUUGGAGAUAAUGCUAUCACUUCAGCAUCUGGGUCUGGAUUUCCUGGUAGGCUUCUCUUCUUCUUUAUCUUGGGUUGCUGCUGCUGCUGCUGCUGAGGAGAAACAGUGGAAACUACUGGAUUUAAGCCACAAAAAUCCUGAACUCUAUUACCGGUAGAAACACUAGCAUCCUCAGACAAAGCAGUUGAAUUGGACAUGGCUGCUGGGAACAUGCCUGUGAACAAGAAAACUCCAAGAAGAAAAAAAACAAGAAACGGUUUCUUUGUUUUUGUUUGAUAUCUUUCUACCAAUNNNNNNNUUCUACAAGUGCCCACUUUGCACCUUUGAAGAAACAACAAGAAAACUAAGGGCAGCCCCAGAAAUAAAGAAUCCCAGCUUUGGACACAACUAAACACAACUUUGUUUAUGAAC
rnacentral:misc_RNA from 1 species